rnacentral:snRNA from 8 species
AUACUUACCUGGCAAGGGAGACACCGUGAUCAAGAAGGCGGUUCACCCAGGGCGAGGCUCAGCCAUUGCACUCCGGCUGUGCUGACCCCUGCGAAUUUCCCAAAUGUGGAAAUCUCGAUUUGCAUAAUUUAUGGUAGUGGGGGACUGCGUUCGCGCUCUCCCCUG